rnacentral:lncRNA from 1 species
UCUGUCAUAUUGAUGGAAUCAUCUCUCAUGCAUUUUAGGUGUCUCUUGUUCCAAUGUGGAUUGUGUAUUACAGAGGAAGAGGCCGGAGGAAAGGAGGCUGAACAAGAAUGAUGCAAGAAUCUAGACGUCAUUUUAAAAAGGUCCAGUUGUCAAGCAUGGAGAUAUCAAGUGUGUGCUAAAUGAAGGCAUGCCAAUUUAUCAUAGACCAUAUGAGAAGGGUCGCCUAAUCAUCGAAUUUAAGGUUUUCCAGAUGUGUAAAAAACAGAAGAAAAACUGAGGUGAAGAAAAUAUAUGAACUUUUGACAUUAUAAAGGUCGACGACAGUACUGAAGCCAUAACUGCAAGUCAGAUCUAUGAAUCCUGGUUCAACAAUCUCUCUCGACAACACAGUAAAGAAGAGCUCCACAAGCCCCCCAGUACAUCUGGCAACAAGAGUGCAAAUAAUCCAAUAAAAGUCUUAAGACUUUCAGUUGCCCUCUCAAAUUCCUCUGAGGCCACCAUAAUUCUCAAGUCACUUUAAUUUUUUUCUCUCAUCUCCCUUGUACACCCUUAAAAUGUACAGCUGCAUUUUUCUCUGCCAGGAUAGAACUUAGAAAUUCCCAAGAUUUAACGGUGAUGUAUUCAACCCAGGACUUGCACCUGAGCACCAGGAACCAUGGCUUCGUCUUUCAGUGAGACAGCAGGGACUUCCUUUCAUCUCACUCUCCUUGUCCAAAAGCCUUGAAACUGGAGAUAAGAAUAAAAGGACUGACG